CGCUGAGAUUCCGGGCCCGGCGGCCGCGGGGAGCGGGUGCCAGUUAGGAACGGGGUUGCUGAUCUCCUCGUUUGCGUUUUGGGGGUUCCUUUUGUUCAUAGCAGCAGACUCGAAAAAGCGAGCCGGCUUGGAGGAAUUCCGCCCAGCGAUCCGAGUGCGCAUUGAUCAGUGUCGAGAGAAAAAAAAAGCUACAUAAAUAUAUAUUAUCCACGCCGCCGCCAAGCUCUCCAGUGCCGGAGGAGGCCCCGAGGUUCGCUGCCCCAGGCCCGGACUCCAACCAGGACACCUCUCCCUGACGAUCCGGGGCCCAACCCUAACAGCAAGUACAGUUCUGAGAAUUGUGGAACUUCAUCCUUUCAUUUUAAGACAUUCCUGCCUUUGCUUGAUGGAAUCCUGUGAGCCAGCACUCAGUCCACCAGGAGCAGGUGCUUAUGACUGUGUUCAGGUGAAACUGGCUUCAAGUCCUGCCUCUCCCACUUACUGACUCUGGGACCUUGGACAGGUUCUUUAAUCUCUUUAUGGCUCUGUUUUCUUAUGUGUGAAAUUGGAAGAGGAAUAGAAGCUUCCUCGUUAAAUGGUGAUGAGGGGUAAAUGAGUAGAUGCAGGGCAAGUGGUUCGAUCAAUGUCUGAUCAGCCAGUAUUGUCAGAGCACCACUCUGGGCUGUGUGUGGGGAGCAAGGGGGGCUCUGAGGGGCUGGCCCAGCCCCUCCACAUCCUGCAGAGGAGGAGGUGUGCCCCGUUCAGCUGGGGCCUGAAUGGGAUGCGCAGUGGGUGCCCUCACUUGCUGCCUGCUUGUUUCUCAGCAUGCUCCUGAGGGUGGGCAUCCUUCAGGGUGAGCGAGGCG
ensembl:lncRNA